GCGUUUGUGGUUUAGUGGUAAAAUCGAUCCUUGCCAUUAGUGCUUCCCACAACAACUUGGAUUGGCCCCGGGUUCGAUUCCCGGCGAACGCA
rnacentral:tRNA from 1 species